AGAUGAGGAGCUAACUGGCCACAUCUGCCCUCCACCAUGGAGACUGCUGUGCUCCUUCUGAUUGAAAUGAUUCAGGAGAUGUCUGGUCAACUCAUCCGUGCUGCUGUGUCCACAACCAACUAAGCAUGGCUGGGAUGGACUGCCUGGUGAAGAAGGACUUGAUUUAUAAUUGGCACUCAUUGGAAACCAAUGUUAAGACUUUUGGAUCCACACGAGGUCUUGGAGAUCCUGCAGCCUAAAUCUCUGGGACUCAGUGUCCUCAUCUGUAAACUGAGGAGGUUGUCGUGGACUGCCCAGUCAUUCCAUGCUGGGAUUCAGCCAGCCCCAGGACUUCUGAAUCCAAGUCCAAUGCUUGCUCUAUCCUAGCAAAUUCUCCACUCUUUCUUUAAAUGCCAGCUGUCAUCUAUGUCUCAAAAAAAUUAAAAAAAAAAUAAAAAGAAAUCCUAGCUGACUGUUGACCCUGAGUGGCAAUGUGGCUAAGAACCCAAUCAAUCUGCCUUGGCACAGGAAGAACAGGAAAGUAGAAAGCAUCCAAGUUGGGGAAAGUAACUCUGCGUCCACUUCCUUUGGCCAUUUUCCCUCCCCCUUUGUUGCUCUUAACACAUAAUGAUAAUAACGGUAACAAUCAUAUAGCUAACAUCUAUAGAGAACAGACUACAUGUCAGGUGUGGUUCUAAGUAUUUUAUAAGCAUUAAACAUAUUUGAUCCUCAAACAACCCUUUGAAGGAGGUAUGAUUAUUAUUUCUAUUUUACAGAUAAGGAAACUGAAGCACAGAGAAGUUAAGUGACCUGCCCAAGGCCACACAGCUAAAAGUACCAAAGCUGAGAUUGAAUUCACAUAGCCUGGCACCAGAGCCCAAGGUCUAUACUAAAGAGAUGAUGACAUGAUAAUAAGCCUGAAUAGACUUGUGAAAAGAUAAAGUUUGAUUACUUCAUGAACU
rnacentral:lncRNA from 1 species